CUGCAUCACAAGCUGCAAGGCUCAAGUGCUUGGCUUGCUAACUUCACUUUGCUGAUUGACUACCUGAGACCACCUCCAAGCCGUGUGCCUAACCUGUGUCCUGCCCCUACUGCUGCUUCUCCCUUGCCUGCUCCAGCCUUUGCUUGUCCUACCUCCUUGCAUUCCUGUCCGACACCCCUACCUGCUUUGUCCCUGCCUACCUUGUUCCUGCUUGAGCCACAUGCUUCCAGCCCUGCUUUGCUGAUCCAGCCUGCCGCCACCAUACUGCUGCCACCCUGUCCAGGAUUCUGCACCUCCUGCCCAAGCACCCACUCGCCUCGUGUCUGGCUGCCCAUCGAUGCAGGAGGGGUGCCUUUGAAGCUGCGUUGCUCCGACAGCGGCAGAGGCUGCCCAGCAAGGCAGCGUGCACACACCCCCUACUGCUUGGAUGUCGAUGGCGCACUCCGAAGUUCUGGUGUGCUGAAAGAGAGAGAACAAAGAGAGCAGAGUUAUCAUAGACUGAACAGCCAUCUGAUGCCAGAACAUAAAGGGGCAAACCAAUCACUCGCUGCCCCAGAGACUGACGGAACUGAACACCAAUGAGGACCCGAGCAAUGGGCCAUCAGAGGGAGGAUGUGAGCUGCACCAAUCAAAACAUCAAGAGAGACUAUAAAAACUGCCCUGGGGCUCAGUUCCCGGGGGGGUCUUCCUGAGGAACUUGAGUCCGAGGAAAUGCCCUCCACGUCGCAAUGUUUGUUUUUUUCUGGGUUGUCGAGUGGGACUUGGGCUUACCUGGUCUCCGUCCCAGGUUUUCUUUUUAAUAAACGAGCAGAAUUUUACUCCACUGAAAAAGUCCAAGCCUCGUUUAUAACACGUUCUUCCUGGGCAAUUAUUACCAAAGAUGUUCUGUAAGGCCUUCCAGGAGAUUCUGAGCCUUGGGGGCCGUGCACACGUAAGUCAUGAAUAUUUCCUUCCCAGAAGAGCUGCUCAGCUGAAGAGCUGCCCGUGUUAACUCCUAGCUGUGGGAACCUACGCCUUUGUGUGUGUCCCAUGGCAGUACCUCGUGGUGUCUGAGGACAAGCAAGAGGGAGCUCAGGGCCUCUGGAGGACUGCUGGAGGGAUCUGGGGCACACGGAGUAUUUUCUUCUG
rnacentral:lncRNA from 1 species